rnacentral:misc_RNA from 1 species
UGUAAGGGUUUAGGUCUAAUUAUAGAGGAAAUUUUGCCAAAAUUUCGGCAAAACCUUAAAAUUUAUUCUUGCUUCUAUAGUUUACGUUAAUUAGCUAAUUUUGUCAGUCAUUUGAUAGAGGUCAGUGUGUCUGUAUAGGUGAUCGGUGUCAGCUAGCAUUUUUUCUCUUCAGCCAAACUUGCUGCAAUCGGGUCUACCAGUUUAUGAGUUCGAUAUUGAUUAUUUUUGUAAUUUCAAUAUUAAUUAUAUAUAUCAAGCAUGCUCAUAUAUUUUAUAAAUA